rnacentral:rRNA from 1 species
CCUACGGGAGGCAGCAGUGGGGAAUAUUGCACAAUGGGGGAAACCCUGAUGCAGCGACGCCGCGUGAGUGAAGAAGUAUUUCGGUAUGUAAAGCUCUAUCAGCAGGGAAGAAAAUGACGGUACCUGAUUAAGAAGCCCCGGCUAACUACGUGCCAGCAGCCGCGGUAAUACGUAGGGGGCAAGCGUUAUCCGGAUUUACUGGGUGUAAAGGGAGCGUAGACGGCAGCGCAAGUCUGAAGUGAAAUGCCGGGGCUUAACCCCGGAACUGCUUUGGAAACUGUGCAGCUAGAGUGCAGGAGAGGUAA